AGAGUUUUGAUCAUGGCUCAGAACGAACGCUGGCGGCAGGCUUAACACAUGCAAGUCGAACGAUAUAGUGGCAGACGGGUGAGUAACGCGUGGGAACGUACCUUUCACUACGGAAUAGCUCUUGGAAACGAGUGGUAAUACCGUAUACGCCCUUCGGGGGAAAGAUUUAUCGGUGAAAGAUCGGCCCGCGUUAGAUUAGCUAGUUGGUAGGGUAAUGGCCUACCAAGGCGACGAUCUAUAGCUGGUCUGAGAGGAUGAUCAGCCACACUGGGACUGAGACACGGCCCAGACUCCUACGGGAGGCAGCAGUGGGGAAUCUUGCACAAUGGGCGAAAGCCUGAUGCAGCCAUGCCGCGUGAAUGAUGAAGGCCUUAGGGUUGUAAAAUUCUUUCGCUAGGGAUGAUAAUGACAGUACCUAGUAAAGAAGCCCCGGCUAACUUCGUGCCAGCAGCCGCGGUAAUACGAAGGGGGCUAGCGUUGUUCGGAAUUACUGGGCGUAAAGCGCACGUAGGCGGACUUUUAAGUCAGAUGUGAAAUCCCGGGGCUCAACCUCGGAACUGCAUUUGAAACUGGAAGUCUAGAGACCAGGAGAGGUUAGCGGAAUACCGAGUGUAGAGGUGAAAUUCGUAGAUAUUCGGUGGAACACCAGUGGCGAAGGCGGCUAACUGGACUGGUACUGACGCUGAGGUG
rnacentral:rRNA from 1 species